CUGACCGUAAACGAUGCCAACUAGCGAUCCGCCGGUGGCUCUCAGGCCCUGGUGGGGAGCUUCCCGGAAACGAAAGUCUUCCGGUUCCGGGGGAAGUAUGGUUGCAAAGCUGAAACUUAAAGGAAUUGACGGAAGGGCACCACCAGGAGUGGAGCCUGCGGCUUAAUUUGACUCAACACGGGAAAACUCACCCGGCCCGGACACCGUAAGGAUUGACAGAUUGAUAGCUUUUUCAUGAUUCGGUGGUUGGUGGUGCAUGGCCGUUCUUAGUUCGUGGAUCGAUUUGUCUGGUUUAUUCCGAUAACGAGCGAGACUCCAGCCUACUAAAUAGUGCGGACAUUGCCUUUGUGUUUUUCACUUCUUAGAGGGAUUGGCUGCGUCUAGCGGCACGAAACGGAGCAAUAACAGGUCUGUGAUGCCCUUAGAUGUCCGGGGCUGCACGCGCGCUACACUGGCAAAGGCAGCGUGCUUGUCCGUCUCCGAAAGGAGCCGGUAAACCCUUGAAAAUUUGCCGUGAUUGGGAUCGGAAAUGCAAUUAUUUCCGUGAACGAGUAUCCUAGUAAGUGCGAGUCAUCAGCUCGCGUUU
rnacentral:rRNA from 1 species